rnacentral:rRNA from 1 species
GUGAGUCAUCGAAUCUUUGAACGCACCUUGCGCCCCUUGGCUAUUCCGAGGGGCAUGCCUGUUUGAGUAUCAUGAACACCUCAACUCUCAUGGUUCGCCGUGACGAGCUUGGACUCUUGGGGGUAUUGCUGGCCUGCGGUCAGCUCCUCUCAAACGAAUCAGCUCUCCAGUGUUUGGUGGCGUCACGGGUGUGAUAACUAUCUACGCUUGUGGUGUUCUGCCAGGCAACCUUCAGUGAUGGAGGUUCGCUGGAGCUCAUAAAUGUCUCUCCUCAGCGAGGACAGCCUUUUGAAUGUUUGAUCUCAAAUCAGGUAGGACUACCCGCUGAACUUAAGCAUAUCAAUAAGCGGAGG